AACGAACGCUGGCGGCGUGCUUAACACAUGCAAGUCGAACGCGAAAGGGACUUCGGUCCUGAGUAGAGUGGCGCACGGGUGAGUAACGCGUAAGUAAUCUACCCCUGUAUUCGGAAUAACCUACCGAAAGGUGAGCUAAUACCGGAUACGUUUAUCUUGAUGCGAAUGAUGAUAAAGAAAGGUGGCCUCUUCAUGAAAGCUACUGUACAGGGAUGAGCUUGCGUACCAUUAGCUAGUUGGUAGGGUAAUGGCCUACCAAGGCGACGAUGGUUAGCGGGUCUGAGAGGAUGAUCCGCCACACUGGAACUGAAACACGGACCAGACUCCUACGGGAGGCAGCAGUGAGGAAUAUUGCGCAAUGGGGGCAACCCUGACGCAGCGACGCCGCGUGGAUGAUGAAGGCCUUUGGGUCGUAAAAUCCUGUCAGAUGGAAAGAAAUGUAAGGUGGCUAAUAUCUGCCUUAUUUGACGGUACCAUCAAAGGAAGCACCGGCUAACUCCGUGCCAGCAGCCGCGGUAA
rnacentral:rRNA from 1 species